AUCGGAACUUAAGUCUUUGGAAACGUCUUCUCUGGAUCCUAAUGACACGGCUUCUUGGGUCCAUAUGCUAAUCUUCUGUUACACUCUCUUUGAGAAAUACAUCCGGGUGAAGAGGUAUCCCUGGUUCUCACGUAACCAUCUAUACAGGAACAUCCUGAAUUUUCGGUUGAACUUACCGCUGUGCAGGACAUAGGAGGACUCCCGCAGGUUUGAUCACAUCUCAUGCACUGCAAAUAUUCCUGAUUAGGUGGACACGAUGGGCUCGCACCACCUGUGGAUUAAUUCGUGAGAUCAUUUAGCGAGUAUAGUACAAAUUGACACACUUGACAUUUUUACCUUCAGCUAUGGCGCUGAUCGAAACGAAGAGAAGUACCGCCGCGAACAAUUUCAACAUUUUCUAAGCUGUUUACAGCGUUCUCGCUCGUUUACCUCGUCCGAUAUACGUGCGUUAUCAGCAGCUUUCGUUCAUUAUGCACGAUGCACUUCGAUGUGCAUAAACGUUUAACGGUCGCAAAGUUUAUCUUUGAGAUAUUUAAAUCAAUACGUGUACAGCAAUAAAACAACGAGUUCACCGA